rnacentral:lncRNA from 1 species
GGUUUCCAGUCACCAUGGUCAGGCAUCAUCGUUGAACCAGUGUUUCCAGGGGACACUCUUUAGGAGCCUGGCGGUGUCACUGACCCACAAGGAAAGGAGCGUUACCAUCAGUGUCGGAAUGGAUGACAUCAACAAACUGCGCAUCACUGGGAUCUAAUCUGUCUUGGAAAUGUUAAGGAAAUGAUACAGGCUUCCUAUAUCUUUUUCCUUAAAAACGACUCUAUGGACUUAAGUUCACCGAAGGAAGUGGAAUGAUGACAUGCAAAAUGACAACA